CAAGUGACCCCGGUCUAACCACCGGGAUGUUCAUAACCCUUUGUUGUCCGACUCUGUUGCCUCCGGGGCGACCCUGCCUUCGGGCGGGGGCUCCGGGUGGACACUUCGAACUCUUGCGUAACUUUGCAGUCUGAGUAAACUUAAUUAAUAAAUUA
rnacentral:misc_RNA from 1 species